GUUCGAUUAUGGCUCAGAUUGAACGCUGGCGGGAUGUACUUUACACAUGCAAGUCGAACGGCAGCACGGACUCGGUCUGGUGGCGAGUGGCGAACGGGUGAGUAAUGUAUCGGAACGUGCCUAGUAGCGGGGGAUAACUACGCGAAAGCGUAGCUAAUACCGCAUACGCCCUUCGGGGAAGGCGGGGGCCUUCGGGCCUCGCACUAUUCCGACAGCCGAUAUCGGAUUAGCUAGUUGGUGGGGUAACGGCUCACCAAGGCGACGAUCCGUAGCUGGUUUGAGAGGACGACUAUUUUUACUGGGACAGAGACACGGCCCAGACUCCUACGAAGGAGGCAGCAGUGGGGGUUUUUGGACAAUGGGGAAACCCUGAUCCAGCCAUCCCGCGUGUGCGAUGAAGGCCUUCGGGUUGUAAAGCACUUUUGGCAGGAAAGAAACGGCACGGGAUAAUACCCCGUGCAACUGACGGUACCUGCAGAAUAGCACCGGCUAACUACGUGCCAGCAGCCGCGGUAAUACGUAGGGUGCAAGCGUUAAUCGGAAUUACUGGGCGUAAAGCGUGCGCAGGCGGUUCGGAAAGAAAGAUGUGAAAUCCCAGAGCUUAACUUUUGGAACUGUUUUUAACUACCGAGCUAGAGUGUCAGAGGAGGUGGAAUUCCGCGUGUAGCAGUGAAAUGCGUAGAUAUGCGGAGGAACACCGAUGGCGAAGGCAGCCUCCUGGGAUAACACUGACGCUCAUGCACGAAAGCGUGGGAGCAAACAGGAUUAGAUACCCUGGUAGUCCACGCCCUAAACGAUGUCAACUAGCUGUUGGGGCCUUCGGGCCUUGGUAGCGCAGCUAACGCGUGAAGUUGACCGCCUGGGGAGAGUACGGUCGCAAGAUUAAAGCUCAAAGGAAUUGACGGGGACCGCACAAGCAGUGGAUGAUGUGGAUUAAUUCGAUGCAACGCGAAAAAACCUUACCUACCCUUGACAUGUCUGGAAUCCCGAAGAGAUUUGGAGUGCUCGCAAGAGAACCGGAACACAGGUGCUGCAUGGCUGUCGUCAGCUCGUGUCGUGAGAUGUUGGGUUAAGUCCGCAACGAGCGCAACCCUUGUCGUGUAGUUGCUUUGAAAGGGCACUCUAAUGAGACUGCCGGUAGCAAACCGGAGGAAGGUGGGGAUGACGUCAGAGUCUCAUGGCCCUUAUGGUGGGGCUUCACGUCAUACAAUGGUCGGGACAGAGGGUCGCCAACCCGCGAGAGGCCAAUCCCAGAAACCCGAUCGUAGUCCGGAUCGCAGUCUGCAACUCGACUGCGUGAAGAGUCGGAAUCGCUAGUAAUCGCGGAUCAGCAUGUCGCAGGUGAAUACGUUCCCGGGUCUUGUACACACCUUGCGUCACCAUGGAGUGGGUUUUACCAAGUAGUUGGCCUAACCGUAAGGAGGGCGAUUACCACGGUAGGAUUCAUGACUGGGAUGAAGUCGUAACAGGUAG
rnacentral:rRNA from 1 species